UAAUUCAGAGGCUGGCUCACCAAGUGGGCAAGCUGAAGCAGUGAUGAUGAGAGAGAAAAGAGAGGGCUCCUGGUGACAAGUUGGUCAGAUGUGCUCUUUGCUGUCUGUUGUGCUUCUAGACGCCUGGGAGAAGAUGCAUAGUAUCGUUUGAUGGCUGGUGUUUGUGAUGGUAAAUAUGUGGGAUGGAGAGGAAAGUGAGUAAAGUAGGCCAGAACAGAAAACAGUGAUGUCAGGGUCCAGGGAAAUCCUCUAAAGUUGCAUUUAUAUUUUUGACAGUGUGUUGUGGAGGUGUUGCAGCCAGGUUGCCUUGCAGCCUCUCUCACUGUGGAGCAGUCCAGGCGCUCAUAUACAAAGCCAGCACGUUUCACUGUCUGCAGCAUCCGAGCGGAGCGCAGCACCACCUCCAGCAUCACCAGCAGGAGCAGCAGCAGCGAAUCGGGGAGGGUUUUUUGGAGCACACUUGGAGGACCGACGACGCAUAUGAUCGGCGCAAACCUCCACACCGAUCAUGAUGAUGAUGAUACUCGGGGGCUGCAGGUUGCCGGUUGCUGGUCGCUGGUUGCCGGCGGCUCGGUGGACGGAGGAGGCUGUUGAAUGAGCGGAGGUGUGUCUGAAGAAGAAGAAGAAGAAGAAGAAGCGCUGUCCGGCAGAACCGUCGCUGCUGUCCCCUCCUGUUUUUGUUUUUUUCCUCUCCCACCACAGUCGAGACGAUACGCAUGAACUGACGUGAAUGCCGAGCAGCAGCAGCACCGCUCGGCAGCAGCUCUCCGGUCCUCCGGCCAGAGUCAAUGGGAGCGCAGGUCGGCCGAGCGCUAGAAACAUGGAGAGAAUUUUCCUGCUCGUCCUCAGCUGUCUCGGCGUCUCUCGAGUCACCGCGGAUAGCUUGUCACCUCCUGUCAAUGUGACCAUCAAAGAGGUGAAAGCAAACUCUGCUGUGGUGUCAUGGGACAUCCCCGAGGGAGACCCUGUCAUUGGGUUUGCCAUCACACAGCAGAAGAAAGACGUGCGCAUGCUGCGAUUCAUCCAGGAAGUCAACACCACCACACGCUCCUGUGCAUUAUGGGACUUGGAGGAAGAGACAGACUACAUCGUGCAUGUCCAGUCCAUCAGCAUGUUUGGGACGAGCCCACUGAGCGAACCGCUGCGCUUCCGAACGCCAAAGGAGGCGGAGACUCAGGCCUCUAAGAGUAAAGACGAAGUGACAAUGGAGGAAGUGGGCCAGACCACUCAGCUGAGAGCAGGAGAGCUCAUCAUCAUCGUGGUGGUACUUAUCAUGUGGGCAGGUGUGAUCGCUCUCUUCUGUCGCCAGUAUGACAUAAUCAAAGACAACGAGCCCAAUAACAACAAGGACAAAGCCAAAAACUCCUCAGAGUGCAGCACUCCUGAGCACCCAACGGGGGGGCUGUUGCGCAGUAAGGUAUAACCCACCCCCCUCCUCCUCUCCCUGGGUGCCUCCCCCUCAGCGGCGCCGGGCAGUUCCCCAAGAACAACAACAACAACAAUAGGAUGCCAUCUGUCAACAUCAUUGAGGUGUGACUGCCAGGACGUCUUCUCUUUAUCCAAAAGACUUUGUGUUCUCACAAACAAACAGGCCCGUUUUAAGUCCAUCUGCUUGUCAGGAUGACGCUGGGACUCUGGGCCCUUCGGCAGCACCUAUUCUCCUUUGGCACGGGGCCUGGUGCUGAAGCAAAGCUGCAGGACUCCGGAGGUCGGGCUCGGCCUGGCCGGUGCUGGUCUAAGAACAGAGUCAGCAGUGGAGAGACUGUGGAGAGAGUUGAGUGACUGCUCCAUGCUCAAUGACUACUGUACCAUGGGGCAGCAGAGAUUAGGGCCAAAUGGGUCCGGCAGUGGAGAGACUGCAGAUAAAUCAACCCCAGGGACCAAAGCCGAUAAACAGAGCCAGAGACCUUUUCAUUCUCUCUCUCUCUCUCUCUCUCUCUCACACACACACACACACACACACAGUCUGUCACCUCUUUCCUUCGCUUUCAGUACAUUAUCAGUGACCACAAACCAGGACAUUUCCUCUCUCUGGGUGGCACUAAGAUGCACGUUGAAAUAGUCCCUUCUACUUUAAUCUCAUCAUCCAUACCUUACUUUCUUCAUAACAACCUGUGUUCUGUGGCUUUGUAAAUGACACUAGGUUGGUAGGGAGUCGUUUUUUCAACUUUCUUUUUAAACAAGCUGCCACCAGUACAGUUUUGUUGUUCUGGUGUUCGUUUUGGUUUUGUUGACCUUCCUUGGACAGAAACUCUUUGCUGUCCUGUGGGACAAGUAUUCAUUCUGGCAAGCUUGUUUUCCCCCCUCAGGGAGUCCAGACUCCACCUGGCUAAUUUAGGAGCCAUUUCCAAGAUGUGCUGCGAUGACGCCAGAACAGCUUUAGAGAGAUCACUCGGCUUACCAUCAGAGCUGAAUCACCCAAACUUGUCAGAAAAGACGAAACUCAUUAUCUCACUUUGAAAGGCAUCUCUGAUUUGAAUACAUAAAAUGUGUAAAGUCCAUUAGAGGACAGGUUUAGUAACAUCUCAGUCACAUUUGCUGUCACUUUCUUACUUUUUCAUGCUUUUAUUAUAGAUUUCAGAAAUGUAACAUUCCACGUCCAGGAUGAGCCCUUUAGUAUUUCCUCGUGUCUUUCUCCUUGAGGGUGAUGAAUUUCAAAGUGUUCUGGAGAGGAGCAGAACUGCCAUAAUGGAGUGUAUUCAUCUAAUUACCGAACUUUAAAAGGGGGCUGGACUCUGUGGAUGUCUAUGGAGCAGUGGACCUGCCUGUGCAGAGACACUGAAGAGAUCCCUUAUAUCAGCAAUAACAGCCCUCAGAGAGUGUGGAAGCAAGGACUCGAACUCUGUAGCAUCUUUGAAUGAAAGCCGACCCCUCAGCAUGUAGUGUUCAGGUAGAUGAAUGGACUGCACAUCCAAUAUGAGGGAAUAAACCUCAAAAAUCCCAAGCGCUGUUGUAAAAACUUUGGUUUCUGAUGGCUUGCAUGGAAAAAAAAAAACUUUUUUAAUGGGCCCAACUUGCAACCCUGAGACUUCUUAAUGGCAUCCUGAACAGAUGCCACCAAGACAGAAGGGCUUCUAUCAAGACUUUCACAAAUCAAAGUCAACAUUUGAGUUGAAUCUUUAAGUUAAAGAGGCUAAAUAUAGUAAGGGAUCACUUGUUGUCAUAUGGCGCAUCAAGGACUUGUGCUUGGAGAGUAAAUGAUGUAUUUGAGGGCUGAUUCAAACUCAGUAGUACUGCCUUAAAAAUUAUUCUACCUUAUGAUUUAUCUAUUAAGAAUGAAGGCCCUGUAUCUCACAUUUGUGUCAUAUUAUUUACUUUUCACCCAGUAUUUAAUGUGUGUGCAAAGUAAAAGGAUACACUACAGAUUGAUGUUGUGUAGUCUGAGCUGAAAACCUGGAAGAAGUGACUGAAAUUUAAUGUGUAAAUACAUUUUAUAUUACAUUCUUGUUUGAUGGUGUCACUCUAGAGAGCCUUUAAUGAAACGUGACAAGACUAAUGUGGAAAAUGUAGUCUCCUAUUGUAAGAAGGUACUGCAACUGGUGAAAAUAGGUGAGAUUUCUUCUGUUAAUACACCGCUGUUAAAGUCCUGUUAUUGAAGAGCUUUUUCAUAGCCCUCCUCUACUGUUAUGCAUUUCUAUUAUACUAUAUCAUUGUGUUGUUUAUGUGCAGUAAGAAAAGACUCUUUUUGACGAGGAAAACUGUUAUAAAAGAAAAAAUAACAGAAACACCCAUGGUAUUUGAAAUAAUCACCCAAACAUAAUAGUUGAGGUCCAUUCAGCCGCUGGAAAUGUGUAUUGCCGGGCAGGAUGACAAACACCUUCAGAAUCUGCAAUUCACUGACUAGUCUUUUAUUGUAAACAGACGAAUACAUGUGUGCACACAAACAUAACAGGUCACAGCUCCUGUAGCCUUGAGUACGGUGAAAAAGAGAGGCGGUUAAGAGAGAGCAAUGAAGGCUACGGUUGAGCGGAGUAGAGAGAAUGAUGACUAAUGCAAUGGCAGGCUUUUAUCACUCCCUACCUCCCCUCCUCCCUCCCUCUCUACUUCCACUCUUAUUAAGAGUGGAAAAGCUCAAGAUUGUGCUCCUCCAAUAAGCACUGAUUCGUGUCAGAGGCAGGAGUGGGUUUCAAGUAAAGUCAGAGCGCUGGACAGACACUUGCCUGGGCCCCAUGUGACUGAUUAACACAGCCGUUCAGCUGUUGUCAGGACAAACUUGGUGAAAUCUCGAUACGGUGUCCUGCUGCAGAGUGAUCAGCACUGCGCAGGAAAUGUUCUGCGACUGAAGGCUGAAUCCAUUUCUCCCCAGAAACACUGGCCUGGUAGCGGGCUCUUCAAUCGAUAGGCAUCUAUCCCCACAGCAAUGGAUAAUGUUGAUUGUCUCCCUAGAUGACUUCUUUGAACUGUCUUUAGUUUUCCAGCACUAUAUUUCUCUUUGGUAUUUCCAGUAGUCAUUUUAUAUUUACUUUUCUACUGCUUUUCUUAGUUGCGUAAAUAAUCGAAACUUCAGUUAACAGCCUAAGAGGUUACCUUUGGAAGCUGUCUGCUGUCCAGAUGAUAGUGCACUCCUUUGUGUUGCCAAUGUAAAUAAUGUAUUCCCUCUUACUGAUAUAAAUGUAAGGCUAUUGUGAGCAUCAUUUUUGUGGUAGGUUGUUGUCCAACUUAACUGUUAAAUGAACAGUCUAACAUUUUGGAAAAUACACAGAAUCUCUUUUUUCACGUUUAGAUGAGAAGAUCAAUACCUCUCUCAUAUCUGUAAAGUUAAAAAGAACUUAGCUCUCUCUAGCAUAAAGACUGGAAACUGAGAUUCUGAAUCCUACUGAGUCAGGGCAGCGGUCCCCCUAGAAGCUGCGCUAAACUGCUGCUUUCUCAAGCAACACAACAUAAAUGAAAAUUUUUCAUGUCUGAGAAUGGGCCUUUUAUAGGUGACUACACACAACGGUAUGAUCAGUCAACAUACAGUACAAUGAAUCUUUGUCACCUUACUUGAGAGAUAUCUAUGCCCUUAUCAUCUGAUAAAUAAAAAAUUCUAGUAUGCUUGAGUAAAUAAAAUUUCAGUAAACAAAUUCAUUAAACAUACAAAAGUUUCUCAAAAUUGUCGUCUCUUUAGGGGCUGCUGAAAAUUCCCCUUUGCAGGACAAACCCUGUGCAUGAGAGUGGUAUCAGUCUUCUUUUCUGACCAAGAAAGUUGUCGAGUGGAUUUCCUAAAGUGUUGAGCUAUUCCUUUAAGGGCUGUGGCUUCAGCAGUGUGUUUGAGUGAACUCUCCCAUACAGAAAUGAGAAUCCAGCGGCCUCAGUCUGAUGGUAAAAGCUGUGGAACAUCAUUUGAUUUUACAUACAAGUGGGUUUAACCAUGUUUAACAACGACGCAGCAGUCUAACACAUCGGGUCAAUUAGUGGAAGACAUCUGGGAAUCUAAUUAGCCUGAAUCAUUUCAUACCUGGUGGUGCAGUGCAGUUUGUUCAGUCAGCCACUCAAGGACUGUCUCUGCUGCUAAAGAAACAAACUGAUGGUUUGGAUUCAAGCUGCUUGUAAGUGUCAGGACAUCCAGCACCUAAUGCUUGAUGCGUCCUGUUAGAGGAAGUUAAGCAUACACCUGUCAAAGGCAGAUGAAAAAUCUGUUUCCUUAAUCGCACUCGACAAAUGGUGACGACUGUAAGAACUCAACAUUCCACUUGAUCCCUGUGGUGUCAAACCACUCUUAACAUCUCACUGAGGACUUUGUUUCAGUGUGACAGGCCCAAGAUAUUUUCUCAUGCUACUGUAUGUACGAUACAAUGCCUGAAAAACAUGCUUGGUUGCAGCAAUGGACUAUUUUGUGACAAGACACCAGGUCAGUAAAGAGACACUGUUUUUUUCCAAACAACUUACACAAUGUGUAUUUUGUACUAGUCUAGAAACAUGCCUGAAAACUGAACUGAAACAUUGUGACAAUACAGAGAAGUUUGACUAUUUCAUUUUGGGGCUCUUGAAAUAUAGGAACGAGCUCCAACAAAGCAUGGUUUAGAGAAAUGAACUGCUUUAUUAGUGUCAUCUUGUUUAUAUUCAUCGUAUGAAGUGUACAGCAGUCAUUGCUUAAUGAGGGCUAGCAUGGUUCAACUAUUAUGCACAAGGUUACACAACUUCAUUUAUGGAGAAUAUGGUGUAUGCUUACUUGUGUAUGCUUAAAUAAAAUAAAAAUAUCUGAUAUUUUCCAAAAACAAAGUCUAUGUUUGCUCUUAAUUGGGAAAAAUAAGGUUAAACAAUGGCAUUUAAAACAAAGAUUAUAUGAAGCUUUCUGGGCAAGAAAAGUCUGGGUGGUAAACUAUUUUUUGAGGAAUUGUUCUACAAAACCCAAGAAGGUUUUUUUUCCUUUGGUGAAUAAUACAUGGGAAGCUCAAACUCCACAAGGGUUCUACUUUCACACGUUUUCUCCAUCAAAAAAUAGAGAAGACCAACAACUCCCUUCUACUGUUAGUGGUGAAGAAUCAAAGUUUUACUGAGGAAGACGUCCUCCUGAAAAAUUCACCCAACAACAUGGUUCCAGGAAAUGCAUUUACCACGGCGUCAGCAACUUACGUGGGGGGAAAAAAGCACGCAUGAAUUUGUAAUGACUUAGAAAUCAAUGAGACUUAAGUAGCAAAACAACAAAUCACUUGAAGCUUACGCAAGUCCAACGUUAGAUUGCGUUUGUUUGUGUAUGCAUCAAUAUAAGUGCAAUCGUUGUCUCGACUGAUUGGCUGAGCAGGCGAAAUGAGACUGGGGAGAUAAUAUAGCUGACACGCAUGGAUUCUGCCCUUUGUUCUCGGUAGUGCAGCCUGUUUUGACAACAUUCAACACAGCAGCAGGAGAACUGAGAGGAACGUCAAGUAAACAAAAAAGCUCCAUCGCUGCAAAGUCUCCUGCUCAUGACUCCAGAGGGGGAAAACAAAAACACAGUUAGGUGUAGAGAGGUGUGGUGGCUGCACACGUGCCCUGCAGUCUGCACAGCGUGUGUCACGAGGCCUUCCCUGACACCCAUACACCUCUGCCUUCUGGUUGGCUGGGCAGGGACAGGCUGCCCUACUGUCUGUACAGACAGGAUUACUUUAACAGCUUGCAUUAUUCAGUGAAGACCUGUGCAGAUAAGUUCCCUGUAUUUGGGCCCUCUGGGGUCACAUCUCUGCCUGUACCUGUGCAAAGCACUCAGAGGCUGCAUGGUAGAGUCAGAACAAAGCUGACAGAGUUACAGCACUGUUCACCAAACAUUUACACAGGACUGUAGAGUGAAUUGAACAGCCCAAACAUUAUUCUGAGUACUUCAUAAGCAGCUCUGGCACAAAAAUACAUCCUCACUCUGACUCUAGGGACUCGGUUCUCUGCUCAGUGUCUUUGACACUUUCCCAACAAUGAUACAGGGUUUAAUGAGAGCACACUGCAGAGAAUCCUCCAAGCAACUGAGAGGACACUGUGGUCAGUGCUGCUCAGCGAUUAAAGGGACAGUUCACACAAACAAUAUUAUUUGAAAUCCCUCCAGUGAAAAUCCCGUUUUGUUAACAUGUCCGUAUGAUGUUUUUACAAGAUACAUCAUCAUCUAAGUAAACAGUCAACACUGGCUGAGCAUUUUCACCUUGAAGCUGCAGAUUCUGAAAGGUGCACCAUGAAGUGAGAUUAAUGGGUUAUUGAGGUAUGUUGAGCCUAAAGCCAGAGCUCUCAACGUCACAAAGGUGGCUCUCUUUAAACCUGCUACAUCACCAUGGUAACUGAUGCUGCACAGCUAACCUGCUCUGGAGGAGCUUCUGAACAAAGCCACGGCGUUAUGUAGUGAAAACAUUUGCGUUGUGUUGCUGUGCAUGAAUAUGUUUUAAGGACUGGUUCUGAUUAUCUGCUGAGUGUUGCACUGCUGGUACUGCAGCUAAUAAAACAGCUUUGAAAACCCA